rnacentral:rRNA from 1 species
GACGAACGCUGGCGGCGCGCCUAACACAUGCAAGUCGAACGAGCGAGAGAGAGCUUGCUUUCUCGAGCGAGUGGCGAACGGGUGAGUAACGCGUGAGGAACCUGCCUCAAAGAGGGGGACAACAGUUGGAAACGACUGCUAAUACCGCAUAAGCCCACGGCUCGGCAUCGAGCAGGGGGAAAAGGAGCAAUCAGCUUUGAGAUGGCCUCGCGUCCGAUUAGUUAGUUGGUGAGGUAACGGCCCACCAAGGCGACGAUCGGUAGCCGGACUGAGAGGUUGAACGGCCACAUUGGGACUGAGACACGGCCCAGAAUCCUACGGGAGGAAGCAGUGGGGAAUAUUGCACCAUGGGGGAAACCCUGAUGCAGCGACGCCGCGUGGAGGAAGAAGGUCUUCGGAUUGUAAACUCCUGUUGUUGGGGAAGAUAAUGACGGUACCCAACAAGGAAGUGACGGCUAACUACGUG